rnacentral:misc_RNA from 1 species
AGGUUGACACGUGUCAUGUUUGCAUUGACUGAAACAUCGUUGUCUCUAAGAAGAAGGGUUGAAUAGGCUAAGGGAGGUUGGCAUCGCUUGGCAAAUUUGGCACUGGCAGUGUUUUUGGGUCUUGGGGUGAAAUGCAUGUGUUGGUCUCCGGCAGUUUAUUUCUCUUACAAUAUUUGCUGUGCAUUAGUUUCUGUUUCUAUGUGAUUUGGUCCAUUUUUUAUUUAAUUGUUUAUUUUUCUGGAUUGUAUGGUGUUUGUUUUAUUAUGUUGCCUGGCAAGGUUAAGGUGGAAGUAGGGCUAGGAAGGAAUUUCUUCUGCAACAGUACUAGCUUGUGAACUGCUUUGAGACUCAACUGCUUUUUUGGUUAAAAAGCGAACUUUCUCCGAAAGGGUCUUUUUCUCCUUAAGGUUAGGCCUCGUUUCUCUGCUGCAUCCGUUGGCUUCCCCUGUCCAUCCGGGCAGGAGUGGCCUUUCCACCUUACCAGAGUGCGGAUUUUUCCUUCCUCCCUUCGGGUGGGACUAUACAUAUGAGUUUCUUUUGUUUUGGUGACAGACCAGCAGUACAAGUGAAGGAUUUCAGUUUGUUUGCAUCUCAGUUUCAAGCACCACCUAGAGAUUCAGAUCUAUGGCGUAGGGUUGAAGAUCUGUGUUGGGUUGAAGGCUUCUGCUUCCUAGUGUGUUGGGUUGCCUUGCAUGGGUUGUUUUUCUCAAGAUUGACACGUUUCUUUUAUGGUAUGAUAAUUUUUGGAGACGAAACUGACGUCUUCAGUAGAUAUCCGAUUCCUUAAAUGGCCAGGAGGGUUGAGCGCUGCCUAUCGCCUGGAGAUCUCCUGUUUAGCUAUGUUUUCAGCGUGUAGUUUGGCCUGGGUUGUGAUUUGUUUUGUGUAGGGUUGGCUUGUUUCGGGUGUUCUCUCUUCUUCUCGUUUGCUUUGGCCUUUCUUUUAUGCAAUUCUGGUUUGCUUGUCAUCCAUGUCACCGUCUAGCUCGUUCAACUUGGUGGCGCCGUUUCCUCUACAGGCGGUCCGAGGAUUAUAGGUUGGAGCCUCUAACUUUAGUUCUCUCUGCUUGAGCCAUGGGCCUGUCUUGCUGGAGCUAAAUGGUUUAGAACAAGGGCUUCCCAUGCACUUUGUAAUUGAGCCUUGAACCCAUUUUUGUAUUUCCCAUUUCAGUCCAUUAAUGAAUUUCUUAUCUUCGAUAAAUAAAUAAAUAAAUAAUAA